UCCUGGUUAACCCAGGCAGUCUCACUAGAGUUCCCAUCCGAAAUGUUGGCAACUAGUGAUAAGGGUUGCGCUCGUUGCUGGACUUAACCAAACACCUCACGGCACGAGCUGACGACAGCCAUGCAGCACCUGUGCAGCAGUCCCGAAGGAAGACACUAUUUCUAGUGCUGUCUACUGCAUGUCAAGUCUGGGUAAGGUUCUUCGCGUUGCAUCGAAUUAAACCACAUGCUCCACUGCUUGUGCGGGUCCCCGUCAAUUCUUUUGAGUUUCAGCCUUGCGACUGUACUCCUCAGGCGGUAUACUUAUCGCGUUAGCUACGGCACAACCGGGGUUGAGUCCAGUUACACCAAGUAUACAUCGUUUAGGGCUAGGACUAC
rnacentral:misc_RNA from 1 species